GGCCGAUGACUGGAGAUCUAUUGUCCGUACCAUCUGAUUUUCUGAUGCAUCCUAUUUGCCAAAUUUUCUGAGGCCC
rnacentral:snoRNA from 1 species